UACAGAGGUCUCAAGCGUUGUUCGGAUUCAUUGGGCGUAAAGGGUGCGUAGGCGGCGCGGUAAGUCGGGUGUGAAAUCUCGGAGCUUAACUCCGAAACUGCAUUCGAUACUGCCGUGCUUGAGGACUGGAGAGGAGACUGGAAUUUACGGUGUAGCGGUGAAAUGCGUAGAUAUCGUAAGGAAGACCAGUGGCGAAGGCGGGUCUCUGGACAGUUACUGACACUGAUGAACGAAAGCCAGGGGAGCAAACGGG
rnacentral:rRNA from 1 species